AGGACGAACGCUGGCGGCGUGCUUAACACAUGCAAGUCGAGCGGAAAGGCCCUUCGGGGUACUCGAGCGGCGAACGGGUGAGUAACACGUGAGUAAUCUGCCCCUAGCUCUGGGAUAGCUCCGGGAAACCGGGAUUAAUACCGGAUACGACCACCUUAGACAUCUUUUGUGGUGGAAAGAAUUUCGGCUAGGGAUGAGCUCGCGGCCUAUCAGCUUGUUGGUGGGGUAGCGGCCUACCAAGGCGACGACGGGUA
rnacentral:rRNA from 1 species